rnacentral:rRNA from 1 species
AGUGAACGCUGGCGGUAGGCCUAACACAUGCAAGUCGAACGGCAGCACAGUAAGAGCUUGCUCUUACGGGUGGCGAGUGGCGGACGGGUGAGGAAUACAUCGGAAUCUACUUUUUCGUGGGGGAUAACGUAGGGAAACUUACGCUAAUACCGCAUACGACCUACGGGUGAAAGCAGGGGAUCUUCGGACCUUGCGCGAUUGAAUGAGCCGAUGUCGGAUUAGCUAGUUGGCGGGGUAAAGGCCCACCAAGGCGACGAUCCGUAGCUGGUCUGAGAGGAUGAUCGGCCACACUGGAACUGAGACACGGUCCAGACUCCUACGGGAGGCAGCAGUGGGGAAUAUUGGACAAUGGGCGCAAGCCUGAUCCAGUCAUACCGCGUGGGUGAAGAAGGCCUUCGGGUUGUAAAGCCCUUUUGUUGGGAAAGAAAAGCAGCAGGUUAAUACCCCGCUGUUCUGACGGUACCCAAAGAAUAAGCACCGGCUAACUUCGUG